ensembl:lncRNA
GAAAAAAGUUUCUUUUUGAUUUUUUUAACUUGUAUCUUCUUUUUUUCAAAUACUUUCAAAAGUUAAUUAUCUCCACAAAUGUGGAUUCAAUCCAUAUAAAAACCAAACUUUGUCAAGUAAGCUGAGUCAUUCAAGCAAACUUGGAUUUGCAGGAGGACAAUCUUUCAGGUAUCAACAGAGCCCUAGAUGGCUCUUCCCUCCUCAAGGGGGGACUCAAGGGACUCUUCUUCAGUCCCAAGCCAGGGAGGAGCCCUUCUGCAGACAACCCAGAGACUGACGUAGGAAUCUCUUCUACAGCAUCUCUGAUUGGGUGAGGUAUUCCUUAGCUCAGGAAAUGGCCCAUUUCAUUGCUGAGCAUGCACUUCAUGAUGUUAAAAAGCUUUUUUUAAAUUGAAUUGAAGCCCAGAUUUAUAUAAUUUUCACUCAUUUAUCAUAGUUUUGCCUUUUGGCAAAACAAAACUACUGUCUUUUCUAUCCCAGAGUGUUGUGAACAUUCGAAGACUUCCCCGUACCCUUUCAUUGAUCCUCUUGCCUCUAGCUCCUUUAGCCACUUCCAAGCAAGACGUGGUUUCUAGAUCCCUUCACCUUUGAAGAGUGAAGAACUGUGGAGGUAUGCUUAAGGGUAAAAUUAAUUUUAUAUUUUUUAAGUCGUUAAAGGAAAACCCAAGUUUAUGGAAUCAUUUGGCGCUAUCCAAAUUGAGCUGCUGACUUGACUAUUUUGGGAAAAGUCUCCACUUUUGAGAUGAAAAGCACAUCCAUUUACUUGAAACAAGAUUACUAAAAUGUUCUAAUAGUCAUUAACAGUUUCUUCUACAUGCUUAAAGUGUUUGUUAGCAGGCCUGUUUCUUAUAAUUCAGAAUUAUCUAUGGAAACAGACAUUUUCACUCUAAACAUCUAAUGAAUCAACUGAUUUACUUAGAGCUUUUUUAAAUUCAAUCAGCAGGUAUUUGUUGAGUGUUGACUGUGACCUUGGCAUUCUGCUAGACACUGUGACAAUGAACAAGGACAGUAUCAGUUCUUGACCUUAGAGGAAGGUGCCGUUGAUUGAGGAGUCACACACAGUAUUACUGUGAUAGGUGUUAAGGAGAAAACCCAUGAAAAGCCAUGAAAGGACAGAACAGACACAUCUAGUCCAACCUGGAGGCUCAAGAAAGGUAUCUUAGUCAGCUUAGGCUUCUAUCACAAAAUACCGUGCAGACUCGGUGGCUUAAACAACAGACAUUUCUUUCUUAUGGUUCUGGGCACUGGGAAGUCCAAGACCAAGGAGCCUACAGAUUUGGUUCCUUGUGAGGGCCCUCUUCCUAGCCUGUAAAUGGCCAGUUUCUGGCAGUCCUCCAUGACCAAGAGAGGAAGAUCAAUUCUAUGUACAAACUAAAAAAAAAUAACAACAACUCAUAGAUACAGACAACAGAUCGGUGGUUGCCAGAGGCAGUGGGUGAGAGGUGGGCAAAAUGAGUGAAGGGGGUCAAUAGGUGCAAACUUCUAGUUAUAAAAUAAAUAAAUCCUGGGAUGUAAGGUACAGCGUGGUGACUAGUUAAUAAUACUGUAUUACAUAUUUGAAAGUUGCUAAGAGAGUAGAUCUUAAAGAUUCACAAGAAAAAAAAAUUGUAACUGUGAUGAUGGAUGUUAACUAGACAUAUUGUGGUGAUAAUUUCACAAUAUACACAAAUAUCAGUCAUUAUGUUGUACACAUGAAACUAAUAUAAUGUUAUAUGUCAAUUAUAUCUCAAUAAAAAAGAAAAAGGAAAAUAAGUGAGGGAGAGAAGACAAGUAGUAGAUUCACAUUUCAGCCUGCAAACAAAAGCAUCCACUUACAAAGACACUAAUCCUAUCAUGGGGGCUCCACUUCACGACCUCCUCUAAACCUAAUUACCUCCCAAGGGCCCCACCUCCUUCUACCAUCACAUUGAGGGUUAAGACUUCAACAUAUGAAUUUUGGAGGCACAUAAACAUUCAGUCCAUAACUGAGGGCUUCCCCAAGGAAGUGAUGUUGGAGUUGUAAUAUGAAAAAUAAGUGGAAAUUAACCACACAAUGAUGUGGGAGAGAAAACUGUGGCAAAGAGGCAACCACGAGCGGAGGUUCUGUAGCACAAGAAUGCAAAGCAUGGCUGAGAAGUUAACAUGAGCAGAUUGUGGCUGGAACACUGCCAUGGGGAGUUGGGGAGAGAGAUACAAGAUGAAUCUGAAGAGCAUGGCUUAGUCCACACCAAGCAGGGCCUUGUGGGUCAUGUUAAACAUUGUUUUCCUUAUCCUAAGAAUAAGGAGAAGUCUUUAAUGACUUUUGUCAGAGAAGUUCUAAUGUUAGAAAGCUCACUCCGGAAAUAAUAUGGGGAAUGAACUGGAGUAGGGUGCCAGGAGAACAUGAGAGUAAUCCGAGUGGCACCUGACAGUGGGUGUGUGAGAGUAGUGUCUGCAGAAAUGGAAAGAAUUUGAUAGAUUUGAGAGACAUUUAGGGGGAAAAACUGAAGUGACUUGGGAUGCAGGGGUCAAGGGAGAGCAAGGUGUCAAGGGUGAGCUCUUGAAUUCUACUUUUGUGCAAAGGAUUGAAUGGUGGUGCACUUGAGUGUGACUGGAACACACAGAGAGAAGCAAGUGUGAGAAGGAGUUUUAUUCUGGAAAUGCUGAGUUAAAAUGUCAUCAAAGGUGCCAGUAGACAGGACUAAUUUCAAGAGUUUUGGGCAGCAGAUGGUCAUCCAAACAAAAACUCACCCUAUUCCUUGCAGAUGGCACCUUAUAGACGGCACCACCCAGGGAUAGUACAAUGUGUGUGCUUGGGGUAAACAACCCCCCACCUCACAAACACAUAUAUCAUUACCAGUAAGGCUAGGAAAUAGUCAAGCUCUAACAUUUGGAAUAUUUACGUAUCUGUCAGUCCCAUGCAGGGUUACUCCCCACAGUGACCCUUGUUGAAUGUGGAGGUCCCUUCAACUAAUCAGAGAGUGCUGAGAGUAUUUCUCUUAACAAUUGGCUUAUGGUAAACUACCCACCGAAAGCUUUCCUUUGUGGGCUGAAAUGUGAAUCUACUUCUUGCCUUCUCCCCUUUCAUUUGAAAAACAACUUUCCAUGAGUUCCCUUCUAAGAGAUGACUCCAGUCCAUUACUUUGCUACCUCAGAGUAGGAACUAAAAGGAAAAAGAAUAGAGCGGAAAUGGGUCUUAGAGAUCAUCCUCAUUCUACAGAUAAAGAAACUGAGGCUCAAAACAAAGGCAUAUUUAGACAAUGCUAAGGGCAGUUUCCUCCUCCUAUUUUAGGUCUUUUUUUAUUUCUUUAAGUAUUUCUAAAAUGAGAAGAGAACAUACCAAUAGCAUAGUGUCUUCAUUCCAGCUUUUGUAAACAGCGAUCUAGGGGAACACAAAACAUUGUGGUCUUGGCCUCUCUGUCUUGUGACAGUGCUUCCUAACAGUUAGUAAUAAAAUUUUAUUCAGGAUAUUGUGCUCAAUACUCACUGAAAAUGUCAGGCUGGUCGCUAAGAUGGACUUUCCAAAUUAGUAAGUGGGGGGUAAGUUGCUAAUCCUUUUAACGAACAUCUAUUUAUUUCAAGUAACUCAAAAGGCAUCUGAUUCAACCUUCAAUUCAAUGGAUUACUCUUAGAACACAACUGUCAGGAAGGUCUUUACUGAGACAUCGAGCAUAAGUCUUAACAAGGGCUUUGUCAUCAUUAUCAUCCUAACCAGAGGUAAAGAAUGAAAUAUUAUUAAUAAAAACAACCUAGCAUAAAACUUCUAGAAGAAAAGGUGGGCAGUAUGCUCUUUGACAUGAGUCUUAGCAGCAUAUUUUCAAAUACCAUGUCUUACCAGGAAAGGGAAACAAAAGAAAAAAUAAACAAAUGGGACUACAUCAAACUAAAAAACUCUGCACAGCAAAGGAAACCACCUACAAAAUGAAAAGACAACCUGACAAUUGAGAGAAGAUAUUGUCAAACCGUAUAUUUGGUAAGGGGUUAAUAUCUGAAAUAUAUGCAUCUCAACAACAAAAAAAACAAACAAUCCAAUUAAAAAAUGGGCAAAAGAUCUGAACAGACAUUUGUCCAAAGAAGAUAUACAGAUGGCCAACAGGCACAUGAAAAGAUGUUCAACAUCACUAAUUAUCAGGGAAAUGCAAAUCAAAACUACAAUAAAAUAUCACCUCACUCCCAUUAGAAGGGCUAUAAUUAACAAGACAGGAAAUAACAAGCAUUGGAGAGGAUGGAGAGAGAAGGGAACCCUCAUACACUGCUAGUGGGAAUGCAAACUGGUGCAGCCACUAUGGAAAACAGUAUGGAGAUUCCUCAAAAAAUUAAAAAUAGAAUACCAUAUGAUUCAGCUAUCACACUGCUGAGUAUUUAUCCAAAGAACAUGAAAAUAUGAAUCCAUAAAGAUAUUUGCACCCCUAUGUUCAUCACAGCAUUAUUCACAAUAGCCAAGACUUAGAAACAACCUAAGUGCCCAUCAAGGGAUGAAUGGAUAAAGAAGAUGUGGCAUAUAUACACAAUGGAAUACUACUUGGCUAUAAAAAAAGAUGAACUCUUGCCAUUUGUGACAACAUGGAUGGACCUUGAAGGUAUUAUGCUAGGUGAAAUAAGUCAGAUGGAGAAAGUCAAAUAUUAUAUGAUCUCACUCAUAAAUAGAAGAUAAAAGCAACAACAAUAACAAGCGCAAACAUAGACACAGAAAUUAGAUUGGUUGUUACCAGAGGGGAAAAGGGAGGGAGGAGGACGGAAGGGGUGACUGGGCACAUGUGUGUGGUGAUGGAUGGUAAUUAGUCUUUGAGUGGUGAGUGUGAUGUAGUCUACAGAGAAAUCGAAAUAUAAUGAUAUACACCAGAAAUUUAUAUAAUGUUAUAAACCAAUGUUACCUCAAUAAAUAAGUAAAUAGAUAAAUAAAUAACAACCUAGCAGCUUGAGUCCCUUAUUCUUUAGGGUUUUAAAUCAAAAUCAAUGUGACUUUUUAAAGUAAACCCUAGGUAGAGUUUAAAAUGCUGAAUGUGCAUGAAUUAUGCAUGUGCACAAGGUCUACAGCCUCAGGUGCAUUGUUAGUAAAUCAAAUGCCAUAAAUAUAAAUCCAUUCCAAUAGCUUGUUUGAGGUGACUGGGGCUGCUGCCCCACGCAACACAGCAUUAACACAGUGGGUAGGAAGAGCACUGCUCGCAUCGAGAGAUGCUGGUACUUGUAGGUCAGAAGCAGUCCAGUGACGAUGCUCUUAAUAAAAGCGAAAGCAAUGAUGAUUGAGAACACUUCCAAACCAUUUAACAAUUUGGCCACAUCAUUUUUUUGAAUUCCAAUUAUGUGAAAGUUACUUUUAGACUCAAAAAUGAAGAAGAUUGGAUUCUGUCCCUACAAUAAAUCAUAAUCCACUGGGUGAUUAGCACGUCUAAUUAUAACAACACAAAACAAAGAAGGAGCAGUGGGAGAGGUCAUCAGCUCAAUUCAAAUUGGCCUAGUUUACUUUCCUUCUGGUCCCAGAGAAAAUGUUUGUGAUGUUUAGUGUUCUCCAAAUUUAUUUGUUUGCGAGCUUACAUGACUAUUGUGUAACAAACCAGUGGCCUGAAGUUAUUUACCAUAAAAUUUAAGAACUUAAAGGUCAUCUACUCCAAACUGGUCUUUUCAAAGUUGUGAAAACCAAGGCUGAGAGAGUUUAAUGUCAUAGAAUAAUUGAUCAUGUUAUUAACCUUAUGUAUGCGCACAUAUAUUCAAGCAUAUUUAUAUACUUACGUAUAAUAUUUAAAUACAUGAUAUAAUGUAUAUAACUAUCAUAUAUCAUAUAUAACAUAUGAUGAAUAUUUAUAUAUGAUUUUAUGUGUCUAUAUAUGUAUGAGUAGAUAGAUAGAUAUAGAUAUGUAAUUGCUAGCAGAUCAGUCAAUUGUAUUACAUUAGAACCAACUACAUUUUUAUCCAAGGCAUCAUUUGCCAAAAGAGCUGCUUCAUUUGUUUUUGUGUCUCUUCUUUCUUGAACCCCAAGAGUAAAAUGAAUUCUCUUGAGAAGUCUGGGAAGAAUAAGCAAUGAAAGAUAGAAUUUCCAUGGUCCUCAGAAAGUAAUAUCAUCCAGGCGAAGUAAUAUUUAUUACCCAACCAUCAUUUCUUCUGGAACACAUAUCAAAUAAGCUGUCCUGGGGGAGACAUGAGGCUGUAGGAAAAAGCAAAGAAAAAUCAAAUCGAUUUCUUAGACUGGGACAUGGAGACCACUUUCAGAGGCUUCAGAAGGUGAGAACAAAGCACUGACUUGUCCUCAGGAAAAACCAUAAGGUUGAUGGAUCCGAAUGACGCCUGUACAACUAAAGCCAGAGCAGGAAGGAAGUCCCUGGAAAGAGAAAUUUUAUUACUUCCUCACUUCAUAUUGAAAAAAUUGAGAAAGUACAACUUAUCUCAGCAGGCGCAGAAUAAUUGCCAAUUCUCCUCAGAUAGUAAAACCCAACUUAUUCAUCAAAAACAAGUAAGGCCAGGGCCAGCCUGGUGGUGUAGCAGGUAAGUUCACUCGUUCCACUUUGGUGGCCUGGGGUUCGCCGUUUCAGAUCCUGGGUGCAGACCUAUGCACUGCUUGGCAAGCCAUGCUGUGGUAGGCGUCCCACAUAUAAAAUAGAGAAAGAUAGGCACAGAUGUUAUCUCAGGGCCAGUCUUCCUCAGCAAAAAGAGGAGGAUUGGCAGCAGAUGUUAGCUCAGAGCUAAUCUUCCUCAAAAAACAAAAAAAAACAAGCAAGGUCAUAGUUUGAGUGGUAGAGAAGGGAUGAUAUGGGUUUUGAAUCCAGACCUAGGAUUAAAUUCUCUUGAUGUUAUAUCACCUUGGACACAUUAAUUAAUCUCACUGAGCCUCAAUCUUCUAGGCCAUCAAAUGAGAAUUAAAAAAUUACUUCAAAACGUUUUUCAAAGUUUAAAUAGAACAAAGUGUGUGGAACAUACUCAGUAAAUACAAAAUCCCUCUUCCUCUCUUCACAAACCACCAUUAGUUCAUUAAUUUAAUCAACUGAUGUUUAUUGAACCUUGUACUCCACACCAGGAACUCUGCUUGACAUAGGAGAUGUGGUGACAGAUGAGAGAGGCAUAGCCCUGCCCUCAUGGAGCUUGUGGUCCAGGAGGAAAGAAUGACAGUUAAUGAGUAAUUAAGUAAGAAGAUUGGUAUAAAGUCAACAAUAUUUGGUGGCGUAAUGGCAUGUUAUGAAACAAAUACGAAAAACUUUAACUAAAAUGCAAAGGGGUUUUUUUAGAAAUAACUGAAGAAGAAGCAUUAUAUAGCCAAAUAGUAUCAUCCACCUAUUAAUAAGUUCUGUAUUGUUUAUCAAAUUAAUUUGAAUAUCUUCUUUUCCAACUGCCAAAUCUCUAUGAAAACAUUUACCUUUGGUUUUCCCAUAUGGCACAUUGAAAGCUAUCUACAUACUACCGAAAUACAGGGAACUGUUUUCUCAUUUUUUUUUCUUCUCUACUCUUGUUCUCAUUUUCCUAGACAUAUACCCCCUCGUUUUUAUCUUUUUUUUUCCUGAGGAAGAUUCACCCCGAGCUAACAUCUGUGCCAAAUUUUCUCUACUUUGCAUGUGGAUUGCCACCACAACAUGACCGCCAACACGUGGUGUAGGUCUGUGCCUGGCCACUGAAGCAGAAUGCACCAAACUUAACCACUAGUACACAGAGCCAGCCCCACACGUGCCAUUUUUAAGAGCUAAAAUCUACUUCUAACUUUUAAGUGCUAGGUACAUGCCGGGCAUUUUAAAUACAUCAUCUGUGAUCCUAAGAGCAACUCUAUAUGAUAAGAAUUCUUUCUAUUUUAUGAGUAAACUGAAGCUUAGAGUUAAAUAACUUGCUGUCAUUCAGCUGUCAUAACGUCACUUAACUGGCAAGCUGAGGACAUACAGAACAUGGUCUAACCAUCACAGAGGAUGUUCUCUAUUGAGCCAGAUAUAAAACUUUUGUUUGCUUGGUUGUGGGAAUGUCUAGGAGUUGGUAUCAUGAAGACUGGGGUAGUCUUGGGCUUCAGGCAACAAAGAUUUACCAAUGGGGUAAUUAACCUCUGUGAACCAUAUCUUUUUGCCUUAUUAUCCCAACUCAAGUGCAAACAUUUUUCUAGGUCAAGACUAGCGUCUAAAAAUAUUUUGUAUCUUGAUUUAAUUUUGAGUGUAUAAAACGCAGAUCCUUAUGUACAACAGACAACCAAUAAAUAUGUGCCAACCGAUUAAGAGAUGAGAAAUGAUGUACUUACCUACAUAUCAUUGAUUUUAUAUAUGCCAUUAUUCCUAUAUCUGAAGAAAACAGAAUUUGCUUACUGUCUAAGUGUUAGUUAAAAUGACUGAUCUUUUUUUUUAUAUUAGAGGUUUUAUAGAAACACUUAUCCCUAAUGUAUGGAAAGUUUUCAUUUCUUGUCGAUGUUUUCUCUGAACAGGUUUUGCCUUUUGCCUUUGGAGGUGGUUCAAAUGGAAACAGCUGUAAUCAAUUAAGAUGCGGUGAUUUCAGAUAACCCACUCUCUUUCUUUACAUGGUGACUGGUUAUCCAACCAGGGGCUGGUGAUAAAAGUGUGCUUAAGAGAAAUAAAUUAGUAGCGGUAGAUUUGUCUGGAUAAGUUGAAGCCGGUAUCAGUCAUACCUGAUUUUGACUGCAUCUCAGCCAUAGGAAUAAAAAAUGAAGUUUUAUGAUAAAAUCAGUCAAUACACUUUUUUUCAUGAAAUAAACUAAAAAGUUACUGACAACACCCAAUCACUUGUCACAUUAGCCCAGAACCAUUUACUAUGAUACUUUUCACUAUAGGAAUGAUUGAUAGAAAAUCUCUAUCAUACACAAUAAUGUUCCAGACCUAGCAAUCCUUUUACAGCCUGUCAUUGUCCCCAGGAUCCUUUCCAAAUUUUUUUUAACAGGACUUACAAUGCUCUUUGUGACAAGAUGUAAUUGAAAGCGCUCAAGCUGUAAAGUCCGAUAGAUAGUGUUAUAAAUCCCAGUUCGUCUUUGCCAGUUGUGUGCUCUCAGGCAAAUUCCAUAAUGUGGAAUAGACUUGAACAUACUUCCCUGUUUUAAAGAUAGGAAUACUGGUACUUAUCUCAUAGAACUGUUUUGAGGAUUCAAGAGAUUGUACAUAAAGAGCCUAACAUCUCCCAACACAUAAUAGGUCUAACAAAAAUGUAGCUUUCCUUUUCUUUUUUAUUCCCCCUCAUCAAUAUAACAGCACAUGAGAAUGUUCAUAUUUGCUUCUGGUUUCUAAAUAUCGUGAUGUGAUUAUGGCUUGGAUUUGACUAAAACUAUGCUUACCUUCUGAAAAGGACCUGGUACCUUCAAAUACAAUUUCGGCCUUUCAGAGAUAGGUUGAAAUAACAAGGACUUUGGAGAAAUGCAACAAGACUGAACAACUGAUACAAAAACUUUUAUUAUUUUUUGAGUCUUUAAAGCACAAAACUCAUUUUUGAUGCAUUCUUUAAAAUCCACCACCAUAUUACACAUUUGUCCAUUGGCAUGUGAAAACAUUCUUCUGUCUCACCCCUUAGUUUCUGGGACCAUCAAAAAAUAAAAUAGAAUCUUAAAAAGCAAAGAGAAAAACAUAGUCAAAGACUGAUUUUCCUUCCUAUUUCAUUCAAGAAAGAAUUACUGAGUCCUGACUCAAUGCCAUGCGCUACUCAGGGAUGUGGGGAGGCAUCAAUGACCUCAGGGAGCUUACGUUCUAGUUGGGGAAGACAAACAUAAAUAACAAGUAAAUAUUAGUAUAUAACACAUUAAAAGGUGACAUAUGAAGACUAGCCUGGUGGUGUGGUGGUUAAGUUUGUGCACUCUGCUUCAGCAGCCCAGGGUUCAUGGGUUUGGAUCCCGGGCAUGGACCUACACACUGCUCAUCAAGCCAUGCUGUGCUGGCAGCAUCCCACAUACAAAAUACAGCUAACACAGAUGUUAGCUCAGGGCCAGUCUUCCUCAACAACAACAAAAGGUGACGAUACGAAAAGAAAACAAAGCAAGACAAGGAAGAUUAGAAGUGUAUGGACAAGGGGGAAGUGUAAUUUUAAAUAAAGUGGUCAAGGUAGGUAUCCAUGAGCAAAGAUUUGAAGGACUUGAGGAGAGAGCCAUGGAGAUUUUUGGGAGCAGGGCCAACUUAUCCAGUAGGCACAGCAGGCAUAGUGCUGAGGGACCACCAGACUUUUGGAAGCCUACAAAAAUAUUUGACUUGUUGUUAAAAUCAGAAGAAAAAAAAUGAACUCAAAGUUGAAGAAAAUGUUUAAAUUUUUUUGUUUUGAGGAAGAUUAGCCCUGAGCUAACAUCUGCCACCAAUCCUCCUCAUUUUUGCUGAGGAAGACUGGCUCUGAGCUAACAUCCGUACCCAUCUUCCUCUACUUUAUAUGUGGGACGCCUGCCACAGCAUGGUGCCUAGGUCCACAGCCAGGAUCCGAAUCAGCAAACCCCUAGCCACCAAAGCAGAACGUGUGAACUUAACCACUGUGCCACCAGGUCAGCCCCAAAAUAUUUAAAUUUUUAACACAAACUGG